CACGUAGUUAGCCGGCGCUUCUUAUCCAGCUACCGUCAACCCACCCACCAAGGGGCAGGCCUGCUUCACUGGCGAAAGAGGUUUACAACCCGAAGGCCUCCAUCCCUCACGCGGCGUCGCUGCAUCAGGCUUGCGCCCAUUGUGCAAUAUUCCCCACUGCUGCCUCCCGUAGGAGUCUGGGCCGUGUCUCAGUCCCAGUGUGACCGUCCACCCUCUCAGGCCGGCUACCCGUCACCGCCUUGGUAGGCCAUCACCCCACCAACAAGCUGAUAGGCCGCGAGCCCAUCCCCCACCAAAAACACCCAAAGGCGCAAUCUUUCCCAGACCCAUCAUGCGACAGACCCAGAAUAUCCCGUAUUAGCCACACUUUCAUGCGGUUAUCCGGAAGAAGGGGGCAGGUUACUCACGUGUUACUCACCCGUUCGCCACUCAUCCACACCCACCAAAAGGAAGGCGCUUCACCGUUCGACUUGCAUGUGUUAAGCACGCCGCCAGCGUUCGUC
rnacentral:rRNA from 1 species